AGGAAUAUUGGACAAUGGAGGCAACUCUGAUCCAGCCAUGCCGCGUGCAGGAAGACUGCCCUAUGGGUUGUAAACUGCUUUUAUACGGGAAGAAACACCGCUACGU
rnacentral:rRNA from 1 species